UGACAAUGUUAUAAUAGAAAAAUGUCUGGUUGACGACACAACGUGACUAAUAAACCUGGAGGUUACUUGCACCUACACAGCCAGUAAUGAAAACCAAAGGCGAACACAUGCAGUGUGUCCAGUAGGUGCCCCCUAAAAUGAGUUGGAAAACAUGACAGAAGAGACACGUCGCGGUUGACUGUCGGUGAUUAAGGAAGUAACCUGAUUUCCUUCAAUCAAGCUGAAGCGUUUCAGCCCUACAAGACAUCGAGCUCCUUCGAAUGGUCGGCGCGAGACGCCGAGCUAAAAGCUAAUCAGCCCGUAAUUCAAGAUCCGCUCGGCCACUCGGCAAUCGAUACCCACAAAAUCCCAAUUAAAGCGCGCCGGGUCAGCGGAGGGCCACCAAUUCCUCUACAAGUUAAAUGCAAUACUUAAAUCGAAGCAAUUUCCGCGUGGCCUUCACGGGUUUAAUGGCUCGUCCCGACAGGAGUGGUCCAGUUAAAAGUGCAAGAAGGACAAAGGGGGCGCCUCGCUUUUUGCAAUCGAUGUUGCAGCCACUGUGGAAGCGGCCAUUUUUGUCAACUUUACUGAUUACUACAAGAGCACAAAGACACACCGGCUUUUCUAUGGUUUGAAUGUACAUGUUAAAAUAAGAUGUCAUUAUUUGGAAGGUUUAAUUACGAAACAUGUCAUUAAAGUUGUUUUAGGAAUACAAAUUCUGAUAUAUUGCUAUACAGUCGAUAUCGUUUUCAUUUUCUGCCUUAAAACGUACCAUAUAACAUCAUACCUGUUGCAAGAAACCAACAAAAAUACUAUUAAAAUUGAAGAGCUUUAUCAUACUGUAAUGCUGUUUCAUCAUUUUUGUUGCUUAAUUUAACAUUGUACUUCAGCAAAAUAAAACAC